rnacentral:tRNA from 1 species
UCCGGAUUAGCUCAGCGCUAGAGUAUGUGACUGUUAAUCACUUGGUCACUGGUUCGAACCCAGUAUCCGAAG